CCUACGGGUGGCAGCAGUGAGGAAUAUUGGUCAAUGGGAGGAAUCCUGAACCAGCCAUGCCGCGUGCAGGACGACGGCUCUACGAGUUGUAAACUGCUUUUGUACCGGGGUAAAAUGCUUUACGAGUAGGGUUUUGAAAGUACGGUACGAAUAAGGAUCGGCUAACUCCGUGCCAGCAGCCGCGGUAAUACGGAGGAUCCGAGCGUUAUCCGGAUUUAUUGGGUUUAAAGGGUGCGUAGGUUGUUUUAUAAGUUAGCGGUGAAAUACCGAUGCUCAACAUCGGGGCUGCCGCUGAUACUGUAGUACUAGAGAGCGGAUGCAGCAGGCGGAAUGUGUAGUGUAGCGGUGAAAUGCUUAGAUAUUACGCAGAACACCGAUUGCGAAGGCAGCUUGCUGGACCGGAUCUGACGCUGAUGCACGAAAGCGUGGGGAUCGAACAGGAUUAGAUACCCUAGUAGUC
rnacentral:rRNA from 1 species